ensembl:snRNA U1 U1 spliceosomal RNA
AAACUUACCUGAUUAAGGAGACACCAUCACCACAAAAGUGUUUUUCCUGGGGCAAGGCUUACUCUUUGCACUCCUGUUGUGCUGACCCUGUGAUUUCCCCAAUUGUAGGAAACUCAAUUGCAUAAUUAAUGACUGUGGGGGACUGUGUGUUAAACUCUCACCUG